AAAAGUUACCAUAAACUACUGUUAUUGGUAACCUGGUUACGGUGUACGAUUAGGGUGUACCCAUAAUCGACACAUGACGUGUAUUGAUUUUACUGUGUUUAUAGUGUAGAUUAUAAGUGUCGAUUAAAUGAUUUCGGAAUGAGGGAUAAUAUGAAAGUUGGUUAUGCACGAGUAUCUACAACGGAACAAAAUUU
rnacentral:sRNA from 1 species